GCAGCAGACACAUUGCAGCUGGAAGAAGGAAGCCUUUAUACUUCUUUUGGGGUGCUGGACAGGAGACUCCUCCUUCCCUUAAGCCUUGGCCCACUUAUCUGUGGGCUUUGGGAGCUGGGAGCAACCAUACUCCCACAGUUUCAAGCAGGGGCUCCUUCCCCAGAUGGCACCCCAUGGGAAGCACUCGCCCUCCUCUACCUAUCAUUGUCUUCUUCCCAGGUAUGUCUCGGGUAUUGCAGUGUGGGACAUUCCACAGAGGAGGCACUUCUGCUUCCCUUGCAAUGCCUGGCUCGCUGCAAGAGAAGAUGGGCUGAGCACCCCCCAACACUUCCCAACAGCCCCCCCAGAAGAGCCAUUCUGGCCUGUCUUCCGGCAAAGGGCCCUGAGCGGCCUCUGGGAGGAGCACACUGUGCUGCUGGUCCUGCGCCCACCCCCGCGCAGCCCCUUCACCCGGGCCCAGCGCCUCUCCUGUGCUUGGAGCCUCCUCCUGUGCUCUGCCCUCAUCAGCCUCAUGUUCUGGGAGUCUCCUCAGGGAGACAGCACUCCACUCCUCUUGGAUGCCGGCAGCAUCUUCUCUCUCUCCUGGAAGGACGUCGUCAUUGGAGUCCAGAGCGCCCUCCUCGCCUUCCCCAUCAACUUCCUUGUGGUCUUCAUAUUCCAGCGCUCCAAGCCUUGCAAAAGGAGACGGGGUCCCGGCCAGGGUCCCCCUACCAUGCCCAGCGCCCCCAAUGAUCUCACCAGUCUGCAGGCCGUUGUGCUUGAGGUGGGUACCUGAGUGAGAGGGCAGAGCUGUGGGGCAGGGCCAGGAUCCACUGCAUCUAUGCUUGCACCCACCCUUCAACUGUGAGGAUUCCUUGAGCGCCUUAACAAAUGCAGCCCCUA
rnacentral:lncRNA from 11 species